AUUACCGCGGCUGCUGGCACGUAGUUAGCCGUGGCUUUCUGGUUAGGUACCGUCAAGGUACAAGCAGUUACUCUUGUACUUGUUCUUCCCUAACAACAGAGUUUUACGAUCCGAAAACCUUCAUCACUCACGCGGCGUUGCUCCGUCAGACUUUCGUCCAUUGCGGAAGAUUCCCUACUGCUGCCUCCCGUAGG
rnacentral:rRNA from 1 species